AAACCAAUUCGUCCGGUUUACUUGAUUAAUGGCUACAAUUAUUGUGCAAACACGGUUCGUUAAGUCUUUUGUAAUAAUGAACGUUUAGUGUUUUUUCGUCUUCCGAAGCUAUAGCACCGUAUUACUUUACCUUGACUGACAAUUCAAAACAAAACUGCAUUAAGAACCAUAAAUAUAUAUUAGUUUAUUAUUGUAACACGAUACUACGGUACCGAUCAAAUAUUUGAUUAUAAUCCCUGCAGGUAGUAAUAUGUUGAUGGAAGUUAAGGAUCAAAGUUUUGGAAAGUUUUCACGUGCAUACAUCUAGCGCUCCAUAUUUAAAGUUCACGGUAAAGCCUAACACGUAUGAUUAAGGUCACAUUUCCAGUUCCCGAUCAGCCCGAUGACUGGAUUUUUGAUAGUAUCCAAUUAUUAAUUUGUGGUUUGGCAUAUUCUAAAACGACUUUUCACAGGAAUAAUGUAUAUAAUUUUUCAUUAAAAAUACUCGAGCGCUAUUGAAAGAUGUCCAAACUUCACCUAGACGUUGUUAAUUUCCUAUAGGUGUACAAUUGUUGUCCCAAACGUAUUAGGGUCAAGUUAUAUGGAUUGGAAUUGCAGCUUAUGAAGAUUUUUUAAAGGCUGUUUUUACACGUUUUUUUCACAAAUUCACCGACACCACUUUUACGCACAAUACGAAUGGCACUGUUUUAUUAACAAGGUACGGGUAUAUCCGUUGCAUCACAAAAGCAGUCAAGUCGAUUUGUGGUCGAAUAGGAUUGGUGCGUGAAACCCCUACGCGUGGACGGCUCUGUUAUGACG